GGAAUCUUCCGCAAUGGGCGAAAGCCUGACGGAGCAACGCCGCGUGAGUGAUGAAGGUUUUCGGAUCGUAAAGCUCUGUUGCCAGGGAAGAACGUCUUGUAGAGUAACUGCUACAAGAGUGACGGUACCUGAGAAGAAAGCCCCGGCUAACUACGUGCCAGCAGCCGCGGUAAUACGUAGGGGGCAAGCGUUGUCCGGAAUUAUUGGGCGUAAAGCGCGCGCAGGCGGCUCUUUAAGUCUGGUGUUUAAUCCCGAGGCUCAACUUCGGGUCACACUGGAAACUGGAGAGCUUGAGUGCAGAAGAGGAGAGUGGAAUUCCACGUGUAGCGGUGAAAUGCGUAGAGAUGUGGAGGAACACCAGUGGCGAAGGCGACUCUCUGGGCUGUAACUGACGCUGAGGCGCGAAAGCGUGGGGAGCAAACAGGA
rnacentral:misc_RNA from 1 species